ensembl:lncRNA
GAGAGGGAGAAAGGGGGAAGGGAGGGAGAGAGAGAGGGAGAAGGAGAGGGACGGACUACGCUCGCACACCUAAACGCAUGCAGAUGUGCCUCAGAUUCCUCUUGAGUUGAGCUUUUAGUUUCUUUCUUGUCAAAGGUUCUUUUUUAUUUUUCUGUGUCAUGGGAAAAUAUGUUUUCACCUUAUUUGUGGAAAAAUCUUCAAAAUGUUUUGGUGCCUUUAGGGCCAUUCAGAGAGCUGAUAGAGGACCUUAUUACUGAUGAAUGUGUUUAUGAUUCUUCCUGCUUGUAUUUUCUAUGUAUAAUUUGCAGUGUGUACUUCUGUAAUGUUGGUAAUUCAGGACUCAUCAGUAAAACAGACCUUGGUCUCAGUAUGACUCCCUGAAGAAAAUAAAAGGUUAAAUAAAAAAAUAAUUUUAAAAAAUGAUUAUUUAUGCUGAUGCUUGUGACAUCAUACUCUCAGAACCCCAAUUGGGUUCCAUCUGAGACCAGACCAUGUGACUCAGUGGGGAGAUUCAGGUAGAGGCCAGACCAUGUGACUCAGUGGGGAGAUUCAGGUAGAGACCAGACCAUGUGAGUCAGUGGGGAGAUUCAGGUAGAGACCAGACCAUGUGACUCAGUGGGGAGAUUCAGGUAGAGGCCAGACCAUGUGACUCAGUGGGGAGAUUCAGGUAGAGACCAGACCAUGUGAGUCAGUGGGGAGAUUCAGGUAGAGACCAGACCAGACCAGACCAUGUGACUCAGUGGGGAGAUUCAGG